rnacentral:rRNA from 1 species
UACGUAGGGGCCUAGCGUUGUCCGGAUUUAUUGGGCGUAAAGAGCUCGUAGGCGGUUUGGUGAGUCGGGUGUGAAAUCUCCACGCUCAACGUGGAGGAGCCACCCGAUACUGCCAUGACUAGAGUCCGGUAGGGGAGUGUGGAAUUCCCGGUGUAGCGGUGAAAUGCGCAGAUAUCAGGAGGAACACCAAUUGCGAAGGCAGCUCGCUGGAACGUAACUGACGCUGAGACGCGAAAGCGUGGGGAGCAAACAGG